rnacentral:rRNA from 1 species
UUCCAAUCGAACCUGGAGAUAGCUGGUUCUCUCCGAAAUAGCUUUAGGGCUAGCCUCAAGUGAUGAUUAUUGGAGGUAGAGCACUGUUUGGACGAGGGGCCCCUCUCGGGUUACCGAAUUCAGACAAACUCCGAAUGCCAAUUAAUUUAACUUGGGAGUCAGAACAUGGGUGAUAAGGUCCGUGUUCGAAAGGGAAACAGCCCAGACCACCAGCUAAGGUCCCAAAAUAUAUGUUAAGUGGAAAAGGAUGUGGCGUUGCCCAGACAACUAGGAUGUUGGCUUAGAAGCAGCCAUCAUUUAAAGAGUGCGUAAUAGCUCACUAGUCGAGUGACACUGCGCCGAAAAUGUACCGGGGCUAAACAUAUUACCGAAGCUGUGGAUUGUCCUUUGGACAAUGGUAGGAGAGCGUUCUAAGGGCGUUGAAGCAUGAUCGUAAGGACAUGUGGAGCGCUUAGAAGUGAGAAUGCCGGUGUGAGUAGCGAAAGACGGGUGAGAAUCCCGUCCACCGAUUGACUAAGGUUUCCAGAGGAAGGCUCGUCCGCUCUGGGUUAGUCGGGUCCUAAGCUGAGGCCGACAGGCGUAGGCGAUGGAUAACAGGUUGAUAUUCCUGUACCACCUAUAAUCGUUUUAAUCGAUGGGGGGACGCAGUAGGAUAGGCGAAGCGUGCGAUUGGAUUGCACGUCUAAGCAGUAAGGCUGAGUAUUAGGCAAAUCCGGUACUCAUUAAGGCUGAGCUGUGAUGGGGAGAAGACAUUGUGUCUUCGAGUCGUUGAUUUCACACUGCCGAGAAAAGCCUCUAGAUAGAAAAUAGGUGCCCGUACCGCAAACCGACACAGGUAGUCAAGAUGAGAAUUCUAAGGUGAGCGAGCGAACUCUCGUUAAGGAACUCGGCAAAAUGACCCCGUAACUUCGGGAGAAGGGGUGCUCUUUAGGGUUAACGCCCAGAAGAGCCGCAGUGAAUAGGCCCAAGCGACUGUUUAUCAAAAACACAGGUCUCUGCUAAACCGUAAGGUGAUGUAUAGGGGCUGACGCCUGCCCGGUGCUGGAAGGUUAAGAGGAGUGGUUAGCUUCUGCGAAGCUACGAAUCGAAGCCCCAGUAAACGGCGGCCGUAACUAUAACGGUCCUAAGGUAGCGAAAUUCCUUGUCGGGUAAGUUCCGACCCGCACGAAAGGCGUAACGAUUUGGGCACUGUCUCAACGAGAGACUCGGUGAAAUCAUAGUACCUGUGAAGAUGCAGGUUACCCGCGACAGGACGGAAAGACCCCGUGGAGCUUUA